UGGGGAAUAUUGCACAAUGGGCGCAAGCCUGAUGCAGCAACGCCGCGUGAGGGACGACGGCCUUCGGGUUGUAAACCUCUUUUAGUAGGGAAGAAGCGAAAGUGACGGUACCUGCAGAAAAAGCACCGGCUAACUACGUGCCAGCAGCCGCGGUAAUACGUAGGGUGCGAGCGUUGUCCGGAAUUAUUGGGCGUAAAGAGCUCGUAGGCGGUCUGUCGCGUCUGCUGUGAAAACCCCGAGGCUCAACCUCGGGCCUGCAGUGGGUACGGGCAGACUAGAGUGCGGUAGGGGAGAAUGGAAUUCCUGGUGUAGCGGUGGAAUGCGCAGAUAUCAGGAGGAACACCGAUGGCGAAGGCAGUUCUCUGGGCCGUAACUGACGCUGAGGAGCGAAAGCGUGGGGAGCGAACAGGAUUAGAUACCCUGGUAGUCCACGCCGUAAACGUUGGGCGCUAGAUGUGGGGCACCAUUCCACGGUUUCCGUGUCGCAGCUAACGCAUUAAGCGCCCCGCCUGGGGAGUACGGCCGCAAGGCUAAAACUCAAAUGAAUUGAC
rnacentral:rRNA from 1 species